rnacentral:hammerhead_ribozyme from 1 species
GCAUUGCUGACGAGUCCCAAAUAGGACGAAACAGCUGUCCAGUGC